UCCAUUUGUUUCCGAGGUUAUGGUCCAUUAUCUCCACGAAUCUUAUAUUUAUUAUGGUUACGGCGUAUAAGGUUUUUGUCAAGCUUGUAUGCAUUUGACCUCUAACCUAAUGCACGAGAUCUUUCCUUUGAACUUUUUGUUUCGUACAAGUUUGGGCUUACAUUAUUCCCAAACUUGAGGCUUCAGGGAUGAAUUUUGUGCAUUCAAUUUUUAUCCCGUGGAUAUAUUAUUCUUAAACGAAUCGUAUUUUUAUUCGCUCGUGUAGACUUUCUUCUAUGGAGUUCAGAGAGAAAACAGUGACGAGAGAGAUUAAGGCGGCGUCAGAUUGGCAAUCGACAGACGAUGGAUUUCAGAUUUGGAGGCGAUGGUUGGAGGACUUCGGUCUGGACUCAGAUUGGCAGCUGACGAUGGAUGGCUGGUGGACUCAGAUAUGGAGGACGACGAUGGAUGGCUGGCGGACUCAGAUUUGAAGGCGAUGGACGGCGAUUGUUGGAGACGAUGGAGGAAAUUUGCAGAUUUGGUUGGAUAUGAAACUUGGAGGCGAUGUUGCGAUGGAGCCAUGGAGGAAAUUCGUAGAUCUUGGAUUCUGGUUGGAGGAGCAGAUUCAUAUGCGUGGAAAUUAAAGGCUUAUAGCCUCAAUACAAUGGAAACUACAACUAAAAAGAAUAAAAAAAAAAAUUAAAUUAAA